rnacentral:lncRNA from 1 species
UGCUUUUUCCUGUUAAGCCACAGUUAUUCUGAGUUUUAGGUCAUUUGCCUCUUUGCCAACUCAAACUAUUACAGAAAUUUACGUUAAUUGAGGGGUCAACAGAAGCCUCUAGGAGGGAGAAAGAUCUUAGCCAAGAUCUCAAGGACAAAAAGGAACCAGGCCUAGAAAAAGCAAGAGAAAAAAACAAUCCUGGCAUAAGGCACAGCUUAUGCAAACAUUUUGAGGCAGGAAAGAAUACAGUAUCUGAGAAGAACUAAAAGAAGGCCAGUAUGGCUGAUAAUUUGUGAAAGAGGUGGGGAGUGGUACAAGAUAAGAUUGUAGACAUAGAAAGGGGUCAAAUCAUAAACACUAGGAAUUUAGAUUUUACUCCAAGUAUGAGAGGAGGCCACUGAAGGAUUUUAAGCAAGGAAGAGCUUUGAUCCAAUUUGUACCUCCCCUUGGCAGCUGUGAAUGACUGCCCCCCAGAGCCUGACUUCCAGUUGCCCCCCUCCAGCCUCUUUUGUUGAUGUAACCUGAGCCCCUCCGGUAGUCCUCUUGGACAAGCUUCCUCCCAAGACACCUCAGAGGUUCUGAAAACCAUCCUCGGUUUUGAUAAUUUGGUAAAAAUAUCCACAGAAUUCAUUGAAAGGUAUUAUACUCAUGAUUAUGGUUUAUCAAAGGAAAGAGAUACAGAUUUAAAUUAUCCGAGGAAGAAAUGCAUAGGGUAGACUCUAAGGAAGUACCAAAAGGAGAGCUUCCAAUGUCUUUUCCCAGAGAACUCAGGACACAUUGCUUUCCCAACAUCGAUGUGUGACAACAUGCAUGGAGUAGCACCAACCAGGGAAACUUGCCCAAGACUCAGCGUUCAGAAUUUUUAUUGGGGCUCCAUUAUGUAGGCAUGAUCUAGUGAUUAUGUACAUGAUUGAUCUCAGUCUCCAGGUUGAGUGAUACUGCAUGACCCAAAGACCUGUCAUAAAUUACAAAUGUUGGACUUGGGCAUGGUCAGCCCCACCCUAAACCAUACUGUCAGAAUAUCCAGUAUGACCUCUGGCCCCAGACAAAAAAAUACAAUCUUAUCAGAUACAACAGUCCACAGAUUGCUUAGAGAUUGCUUCCCAGAAGCCAAGGGCAAGUAUCAGACCCCUUUUUGAACCAGGUUAAAUUCUACAUACCUGCCCAGGACUUCUCAUUUCAAGGUCCAGCUGGGGAAGAACCCACUUCCCAAGCUCACUCAUGUGGUUGUCAGCAGGGUUCAGUUCCUUUGGACUGUUGGACUGAUAGCCAUAGUUCCCCACUGGCUGUUGACCAGAGUCUGCCCUCAGUUUUUGCAUGUGGGCCUCCCUAAUAUGGCAGUUUACUGCAUCAAAGUGAACAAGUCGAGAAGGCAAGAGGGAGAAACUGCUAGUGAGAGUGCUGGCAAGAAGGAACUCACAGUCUCUUGUAACCUAAUCAUGGAAGGGAUGUGCCAUAACUUUUCAACUUAUUCUAUUCAUUAGUAGCAAGUCAUUAGGUUCAGCCUACACUCAAGGGGAGAAGAUUACACAAGAGCAUGAAUACAAGGUGGCAGAGAUUAUUGCGAGCCAUGUUAGAAGCUGCCUACCACAGAAGGCUUAGGGAAAGAAGACAAGGAAAAGGAAGAGGCUGAAGUUGAUAUGUCAGAGAGAAAACAGAUGAAAGAAAGCAAAAACUCCCUCAACUUUCCACCAUCCAGUUCACCAACUUCAGCUAUCUUUAUCUACAUACCUUUCACUCUUUCUAUUCAUAAAAAUUGUC